rnacentral:piRNA from 1 species
AAAGAUCAUUGGUGUUGGACACAACUC